GGGCUAGUAAAGGUUUCGACAGGGAUCUUGAAGCUGGUGAAGCGAGUCGUAAGAUGAUGCGUUAAAUCUCAAAUUAAAAUUAAACGCUGAAGAUAAUAAUUUAGCAUUCGCAGCCUAGUUGCUGCAGUCUGACCUAGUGGACCUACACAUUAGGACCCAGGCUUCGAAACCGUAGGAAACGACAAUAGCAAAGCUUUGCGUUAUUGGGCGUAUGAUGAAGCUACUGAAAUCAUCAGGGUGUUUGUCCCCGGGUGGUAGAGGGAAUGUCAAUAGAUAAACUACACUCGUAGAAGAACAGGGGAUUGGUUUUUGGACGCGGGUUCGAUUCCCGCCUAGUCCAUAA
rnacentral:tmRNA from 1 species